GAGUUGCACGCUCUAGACCCGAAGCGGAGUGAUCUAGCCAUGGGCAGGUUGAAGCGGCUGUAAGAGGUCGUGGAGGACCGAACCCACCAGGGUUGAAAACCUGGGGGAUGACCUGUGGUUAGGGGUGAAAGGCCAAUCAAACUCCGUGAUAGCUGGUUCUCCCCGAAAUGCAUUUAGGUGCAGCGUCGUGUGUUUCUUGCCGGAGGUAGAGCACUGGAUAGGCGAUGGGCCCUACCGGGUUACUGACCUUAGCCAAACUCCGAAUGCCGGUAAGUGAGAGCGCGGCAGUGAGACUGUGGGGGAUAAGCUCCAUGGUCGAGAGGGAAACAGCCCAGAGCAUCGACUAAGGCCCCUAAGCGUACGCUAAGUGGGAAAGGAUGUGGAGUCGCAGAGACAACCAGGAGGUUGGCUUAGAAGCAGCCACCCUUGAAAGAGUGCGUAAUAGCUCACUGGUCUAGUGAUUCCGCGCCGACAAUGUAGCGGGGCUCAAGCGUACCGCCGAAGUCGUGUCAUUGCAGCAAUACUCCCAACGGAGGCUGUGAUGGGUAGGGGAGCGUCGUGUGCCGGGUGAAGCAGCCGUGGAAGCGAGUUGUGGACGGUUCACGAGUGAGAAUGCAGGCAUGAGUAGCGAUUCACACGUGAGAAACGUGUGCGCCGAUUGACUAAGGGUUCCUGGGUCAAGCUGAUCUGCCCAGGGUAAGUCGGGACCUAAGGCGAGGCCGACAGGCGUAGUCGAUGGAUAACCGGUUGAUAUUCCGGUACCCGCUGUGAAGCGUCAAACAUUGAAUCCAGUGAUGCUAAGCCCGUGAAGCCGUUCCGGACCCUUCGGGGAAUGGAAAGUGGUGGAGCCGGUGGCCCGAGCUGGUAGUAGGUGAGUGAUGGGGUGACGCAGGAAGGUAGUCCAUCCCGGGCGGUGGUUGUCCCGGGGUAAGGGUGUAGG
rnacentral:rRNA from 1 species